CGAAGAUAUUAUUUUUGUGUUUAACGUUACAACAUUAUUACAUUAUAUUAUAUUUUAAAGACGCUUAUACUCGCAUAAUGUUCAUUACCGAAAUAGUUUAUCGAAAGGUCUUCGCUUACACACUUUUACAUUUCAACAAAGUACCCAAUUUUAAUUUUCAAAAUUGAACCGAACCUUCUGAACGUAUUUCACUUGCAUAAGAUGAAUAAACUCUGCAAAUAUUUGGAACUAUAGAACACAAAGUUUUUUGAAUGUACAAUUUAGUUUGCCGGUAUUUUCGAGACUAACUUUCAGACAUUUUAAGCCAAACAAACUUGUAUACACAAAUUCUAUAAAAUUAUAUUCAAAAAUAUAUAGUUUAGUCUUUAUUUCGAUGUUUUUAGUAGAUAUAUUGUUCAAAAAUAUCAAAUUAAUUACCUAACAGUUUGUUAAGAAUGUUAUAUUAAGACGGUGGAACAGAUUCACUUUCACCCACUUACUAAGAUUUAUAGGACUGAAAACGUCGGA